rnacentral:rRNA from 1 species
GCCAACCAGCGAUGGUGAGCGAAUCCCAAAAAGUGCGUCGUAGUCCGGAUUGGAGUCUGCAACUCGACUCCAUGAAGUCGGAAUCGCUAGUAAUCGUGAAUCAGAAUGUCACGGUGAAUACGUUCCCGGGCCUUGUACACACCGCCCGUCACACCAUGGGAGUGGGCUGCAAAAGAAGUGGGUAGUUUAACCUUUCGGGGAGGACGCUCACCACUUUGUGGUUCAUGACUGGGGUGAAGUCGUAACAAGGUAGCCCUAGGGGAACCUGGGGCUGGAUCACCUCCUUAUACGAUGAU